rnacentral:misc_RNA from 1 species
GAAUGGAAAGGAUGUGAAAAUUUGACUCAGAAGGUUUGGGCUCAAGCCCAGUCUUGUGAGUUUACUGUACAACCUGCAAGGAAUCACUUUACCUCUCUGAGCCUCAGGGGCAGAUUCAAGAGCAGAUCCAAGUCUUGCAGCAAAAGGAGAAGGAGACAGUACAAGUGAAGGCACAAGGUGUACACAGGGUCGAUGUCUUCACGGACCAGGUAGAACAUGAGAAGCAAAGGAUCCUCACAGAAUUUGAACUCCUGCAUCAAGUCCUAGAGGAGGAGAAGAAUUUCCUGCUAUCACGGAUUUACUGGCUGGGUCAUGAGGGAACGGAAGCGGGGAAACACUAUGUUGCCUCCACUGAGCCACAGUUGAACGAUCUCAAGAAGCUCGUUGAUUCCCUGAAGACCAAGCAGAACAUGCCACCCAGGCAGCUGCUGGAGGAUAUCAAAGUCGUCUUGUGCAGAAGUGAAGAGUUUCAGUUUCUCAACCCAACCCCUGUUCCUCUAGAACUGGAGAAAAAACUCAGUGAAGCAAAAUCAAGACACGACUCCAUCACAGGGAGCCUGAAAAAAUUCAAAGACCAACUCCAGGCUGAUAGGAAAAAAGAUGAAAACAGAUUCUUCAAA